UCAAAUGUCUUGAAGUUGAUAAAUCGUAAACGUGUUUUAAUAUCAGGGAAUACGUUUUGAUAGUAGAAAUCAGAGAAGUUAAAGUUAUUUCUAAAUCUGAGAUGUAAAACAAAUUGAGAUUCAGGUUUCUAUUACAAUAUAAAAAGUCGUUAAAAUAAUACGCAUUCGAAAAAACUUGAUAUCAACCAAAUAAAAUCUGUAUUUGAGUGCGCGACAACAAGCAAAAACAAUAAUAGCAGCAGUAUGUCUUUGGAGACGCGUCUAUAAAGGAUAUAUAUUUUGAAAUAGUGAUAUAAUUUAUUAAUAGAAUAUGACACUUUAUAUAUCCGAGCUUUCUAAAAUGGCUACGCGCCUUUUCGAUUUGAAAAAUCACAAGGUGGUAUUUUAGGAUCCUUUUUUAGAACCCUUUUCCUGGUUGGAGAGGAUUUUUGGAACUUUCAACAAAAUCUAUGUCAAAAUGAAAAAUUUUUAAACAUGCUCUCAAACUUGAAUUCUACAUUAAGUUACUACUUAACUACAGUGAAAUCUUGAAAUGAAAAUCUCAAUCGUCUUUGUCGUGAACUACGUCAUCGCGUCAGGCUGGUGUCAAGAUAAAACAGUGUUUCACUGCUCCCCGAAGCCAGGGUGCCAGAUUGCACAAUGUGAUCCGGUUGCGGUAGGGUGGGACAGACCAGGUUUCAACAUCGAUGAACAUCUGCAUGACAAUGAGUUCCGAUAACAUGCAAAUCCAAUAGCACUGUCAUCGGAUGGCUUGAUUUCGUAUCUAGAAAUUUGGAUAUCACAAACAUCAGAAUGGGAUUGAACAAAUUAGAAAACAAGUUUGAUAAAAAAAUCGAGAAUUUUGAAAAGAAAAUUUCUGGAAAUCUCGAGUAUGGCAACCAAAGUGAGGAACAAUCAAAUAAAAUAAACAAUCUAUUGAGAAGAACACGAGACAGUCGGCUGAGAUCAGAGAGUUGAGAAAAGACUUGGCUGAAACUCGAGGAAUGAACGAAAACUUGGUGGAAGACAACAAUAUGUUGAAGAAAGCGAUAUCCAGUAUUGAACAAAGACUCGCUGUAGCGGAGAAGCACAUUUCAAAUGGAAUUGAACCAGAAUCAAAACUGAAACCAACUCCAUCCCCAGGUAAAGUUUAGAAAACUGCAAAUUUAAAGUUGGGAAUAUCUGUUAUUUCGCUGUGAUAAUUGGUUAUCGUGAUGUCAACUACAGCAAAGCAGUUGAUAUUUGCAAGAAACGCAACGCAGAUGUUGGUUUGGUCCGAGAUGAAGAAUCGUACUAUACGAUCAUGAAUUACUUGAGAUGGAAUUUGACAAGGAAUAAAAUAUGGACGGGAAUCUCAUUUGAUCCAAUGACUGGUUGCGUCACACCUGCAGAUUCAUUCACUAAGUGGCUCCCUAAUUAUCCACAAACGGAAAUUGAUAAUAAAGACCAAACAAAUGUUUACCUUUAUGUUCAUUCCCAACCGAACGAUGGUUAUCAAGGAAUGACGAAUAUUAAACCUAUCGAGAAGGUUGACGGAGUUAUUUGUGAGAUCCUGAUCUAAUGAAACGUCUACUUGGCUGUAUAUUGUACUUAUGGAUCAAUCAUCAGUAAAAUAUAAAUCGUGGAUUCCUACUUUUCAAAAAUAUACAACUCUAAAUUUACUAAUAUAAUACAAGCAGCAAUAAUUGGCCUAAGUAAUUUUUGUUUGAUUAAUACAACGAGAAGUUUUUUUAAACUUACAUCUCAGAUUAUUCAAUCUCAAUUUUGUAGUUUUUCAGUUUUACAGGUAUCACACUGAAAAUCCUGUUUUAAUUAAAUGGAUUUGUUCGAAUGAAUUUCAUUUGUCAAGUUGUUUCGUUUUGCUGAUCUAACAAUUCCGUGUGGAGAAAGGUUUAAUUCUAUUGAAGUUUGAAGAUUUGAAUGUUUGAUCUGCGUAAUUUUAGAAUUUGAAAAAUAAAAAUAUUACCAACACUUCAAUAGGAAAUAAAUUCAGCUUUUGUGUA